UUCUCCAGCUCUAAGUUCCCCGUUAGUUCUUCCACUUGCUUUUCUGGCUUAUUUAUGGCAGCCUGUGCAAAUACAAGGAUAAAAAAAUAUUACUAAAUUGAAAAGAACGGGCAUGGUCUUCAAUCAGAAAGACCGCACAACUAGAGAAGAAACACAGGCAUGCAUGGCAACUUAAACCGCUCAUCAAAAUUUCCACCUUGAAAAUGAGUCCAACAAUUUGACCAGUCAAACGUACUACGGUGAUAGCAGAACAAGCAAGUCAUUAGGUCAUUAUGUGGCACAUUUUUCACUAGCACUGAUGAUUUAAUUUCCUUCACAAAUGCCACCUCCCAUUCUAUCCACGUCCGCCUGUCUCCUUCAUCCGACUUCCAAAAUCAGAUUUUCCUACUAAUUCAAUGUACCUUUUUUUCCUGAAAAAUUGCACUUACUACACUGCAUCGAUAUUCUUUUUGUGGCCAAUUGAAAAUGAUUAAAUUGAUAUCAUGACUUCUAAAACAGAUAUUACAAUCAGACGAACAAGUCUAACUGAAGUUCCACUAACAAUAUAUCAAAUGAUCGAAAAAAGGUCAUAAGAUGAAAGAAAACAAUUCCCCAUCUUAAGCUUCGGCAGUUCUUUACGAGCAACUCUCCCUCUCCAUGCACACUGAGUAGUCAUAUUUGAUGCACCUAGAACUUACAAGAGAAUGAUGUUUACUAGAUUCAUAAAACCCAAAACACUAUCAUCAUCGUCACUAUACCGAACCCCGCAUUUAGAUUUUGCGAGCUAGUACGAUGUAGAAUGGCACAUUCCCCAAAACAGAUAGAAAAAGCGAGCAGUCACAUCCGACGAGAGAUUUAGCUAGCACAUAUAUCACUCCACAGACUGACGAAUUAUGUCAACAAACACUUGUACCAUUUUGACCGAACAGGAUCCAGUCAGAAACUCCUCUCCUCUCCGUAUCUGCGUCCAAUCCUCCAAAAAAGAUCGGCCAACCGGCCACCAACGAACUUCGCCUUCUCCGUUCUCGCAGUAGCUCCCGAUUCACUCCUCCAUGCAAACACUCUCAAAACCAAAAAAACAUUCACUUCACAAAAUAAAAAGCUUCAAACUCUCAGAGAGAGAGAGAGAGAGAGAGAGAGAGAGAGAGAGAGAGAGAGAGAGAGUAUCAAUGCGCAGGGAUUUUCUGAAGUUGUUUUCGUGUGCUCCUGGCUCCUCUCUGCGUUUACCCUUCGAUGUUUACG
rnacentral:lncRNA from 1 species